GUGCCAGCCGCCGCGGUAAUACAGAGGGUGCGAGCGUUGUCCGGAAUCACUGGGCGUAAAGGGCGCGUAGGUGGCUCUAUAAGUCGGGGGUGAAAUGCUGCGGCUCAACCGCAGCGCUGCCUCCGAGACUGUAGGGCUCGAGCACGGUAGAGGCCGAUGGAAUUCCCGGUGUAGCGGUGGAAUGCGUAGAGAUCGGGAAGAACACCAAUGGCGAAGGCAGUCGGCUGGGCCGUUGCUGACACUGAGGCGCGACAGCGUGGGGAGCAAACAGGAUUAGAUACCCUGGUAGUCC
rnacentral:rRNA from 1 species